rnacentral:rRNA from 1 species
UUCCGGUUGAUCCUGCCGGACCUGACUGCUAUCGGAUUGAUACUAAGCCAUGCUAGUCUUUGUAGUAAUACAAGGCAUACGGCUCAGUAACGCGUAGUCAACCUACCCUAUGGACGGGGAUAAUCUCGGGAAACUGAGCAUAAUACCCGGUAGACCACUUAUCCUGGAAUGGUUAGUGGUUAAAAUGAUUCGUCGCCAUAGGAUGGGACUGCGGCCUAUCAGCUUGUUGGUGAGGUAAUGGCCCACCAAGGCGAUUACAGGUACGGGCUCUGAGAGGAGAGGCCCGGAGAUGGGUACUGAGACAAGGACCCAGGCCCUAUGGGGCGCAGCAGGCGAGAAAACUUUGCAAUGUGCGAAAGCACGACAAGGUUAAUCCGAGUGAUUUCUGCUAAAGGAAUCUUUUGUUAGUUCUAAAAAUACUAGUGAAUAAGGGGUGGGCAAGUUCUGGUGUCAGCCGCCGCGGUAAAACCAGCACCUCAAGUGGUCAGGAGGAUUAUUGGGCCUAAAGCAUCCGUAGCCUGUUCUAUAAGUUUGCGGUUAAAUCUAUACGCUCAACGUAUAGGCUGCCGUAAAUACUGUAGAACUAGGGAGUGGGAGAGGUAGACGGUACUCGAUAGGAAGGGGUAAAAUCCUUUGAUCUAUUGAUGACCACCUGUGGCGAAGGCGGUCUACCAGAACACGUUCGACGGUGAGGGAUGAAAGCUGGGGGAGCAAACCGGAUUAGAUACCCGGGUAGUCCCAGCUGUAAACGAUGCAGACUCGAUGAUGCAAUGGCAUAGAGCUAUUGCAGUAUCGCAGGGAAGCCGUUAAGUCUGCCGCCUGGGAAGUACGUACGCAAGUAUGAAACUUAAAGGAAUUGGCGGGGGAGCACCACAAGGGGUGAAGCCUGCGGUUCAAUUGGAGUCAACGCCGGG